rnacentral:rRNA from 1 species
UAGGGAAUCUUCCACAAUGGACGCAAGUCUGAUGGAGCAACGCCGCGUGAGUGAAGAAGGUUUUCGGAUCGUAAAGCUCUGUUGUUGGUGAAGAAGGAUAGAGGUAGUAACUGGCCUUUAUUUGACGGUAAUCAACCAGAAAGUCACGGCUAACUACGUGCCAGCAGCCGCGGUAAUACGUAGGUGGCAAGCGUUGUCCGGAUUUAUUGGGCGUAAAGCGAGCGCAGGCGGAAGAAUAAGUCUGAUGUGAAAGCCCUCGGCUUAACCGAGGAACUGCAUCGGAAACUGUUUUUCUUGAGUGCAGAAGAGGAGAGUGGAAUUCCAUGUGUAGCGGUGGAAUGCGUAGAUAUAUGGAAGAACACCAGUGGCGAAGGCGACUCUCUGGUCUGCAACUGACGCUGAGGCUCGAAAGCGUGGGUAGCGAACAGG